CAGGCCCUGCCUCUCUCUUAUAAGGACACGUGUGGUGGCAUUUAGAGCCCACCCAGAUGAGCCAGGAUAAUCUCCCCAUCUCAAGAUUCUUAAUCCCAUCUGCAAAGACUCUUUUUCCACAUAAGGUCACAUUUACAGGUUUCAGGGAUUAGGAUGUGGACAUCUCUUUGGGAGCUGUUAUCAGACUACCAAAAUAAGUAAAGACAUCUUCAAAUUUACCAUUUAUUAAGCAUUUACCAUGUGCCAGACACCCAAAUACAUUUUUCUCACUGCAUUUAAGUCUUGCAAUAACACUGAAAGGUAGAUAUUAUUGCCUCUACCCUACAAAUGAGGAAACUGAAUGAGUCUCAAGGGGAUUGAGUCACCUGCCUAAGUUCACAUAGCUGAUAAGUGACAGAGCCAGGAUUUGAAACCAGAUGAGCUUGGCUCCAAAGCCAGCAUGAUUUUUGCUUCACCAACAGUCUCUGAUCCUACCCCAGGCCCUGGCACAAAUCUCUUACCUGAAUGGAUGUGCAGAAACAGAAAGAUAGGUGGACAAGGGAAGGAAAAUGAGGUCCAGCCUUCUUAAUGAUAUUGACUCAGGCUUUCUUUUGCCAAAGCCCCCUGACUACCCCUCUAAUCUUCCCCCACCACCCCUGACCUCUUGUUUCAGAAACCUGGAAUCUCCUCCAGUUUGCAUCCUCCUGCCAACUACUGCUGCCCAGGAGGGUGGCACAGUGCCUGCACUUCAGGCAGGAGAUAUCAAAUCACAGAACCAGAGGGACCUCUGGAGGUCACCUCUUCUAGCCCUCUGCCCACAUACAGACCUGCUCAUGAGGACAGGGGAGACGGGAUCAGGGUAGUGGGCAGCAGAAGGGAGAAGUAGCCAUCUCUUCUUUCAGCUACCCUUUUCUUCUCACUUCUUACACGAUUUGUAUUGGGAAGUCCUCACUCAGAUUAACCUUCUAGAGAUCAUGCUAUAUUGAAAGCUGACCUGAGUCAGAAGUCCUGUGACCCAGUCCUAGAUUGUCCAAAACAUAAAACGAGAUUUUGGCUAAGUCCCUUCACCUCUCUGGGCCACUAAUUCUUCAUCUUUAAAACAGAAUCGAUAAUGACAAUAAUGAUGAUAAUAAUAAUACCCAUCUCACAGAGCUGUUGGGGGAAUAACACAGUCCAGGGAAGAAGCAUCCAACCCACGGCCUGGAGCAAGGCAGGUUCUGCAGAAAUAUUUUGUAACAGCUCCUCAGCUCUCCAGUCGAUGCCCCUUCUUCCUGGAUUUCACAGGGCUGUGCUCACCUCAGCCAGUCUGGUCAGCCUUGCGCGCUAGACUGUGAACUCCUCUUGGCAGGCCCUUGUUCAUUUUUUAAUCACUGCCCGUUCCCCUGCCCAGUAUCUAGCCUAGGCUCCAUCUAUUUUUGAUAAGUAAACGAGUGAGGGUCUGAGUUGGACCCCCAAGUCUCGAGAGGCACAGAGCCUGACUCCCACCACUAACCCUUCUGGGCGCUACCAUUUCUCCUGGGGUCCAGGAGGCGGCAGCGGCGAGGAAAGAAGGCGCUGCAGCUUUAAGAUUCCUCUCGGGCGUCCCGGUUGCCAAGGCCCGGUUGCCAGGGAUCUGCGCGGAGCUGCGUCCGGCCUCCGCGGGCCGGCUUCGGGCUUCCGCCGCCGCCGCCGUCUCCGUCUCCGCCGCCGGGCCGCGCCGGGCUCGGCUCCUCCGAACCGUCUGGCGGACUUGGCACCGGCCCCGGCUCCUCAGUGCCCCCGCCGACCCUACCUAAAUUCUCUGGCAAGAAGGAGAAAGGGAGAUGAGGGGCUGGCUUCCAUCUCUGCUGCUGUGUUGUGUGGAUCCCUCCUCUUUCUUUGAAGGAGCACCCAGUGUUCACCUGUUCGGAUCCUGGGCACGGACCUACACACCACUCAUC